AUUGAACGCUGGCGGCAGGCCUAACACAUGCAAGUCGAACGAGAGGCGGACGGGUGAGUAAUGUCUGGGAAACUGGCUGAUGGAGGGGGAUCACUACUGGAAACGGUAGCUAAUAACGCAUACCAUCAGAUGAGCCCAGAUGGGAUUAGCUAGUAGGUGGGGUAACGGCUCACCUAGGCGACGAGCCCUAGCUGGUCUGAGAGUAUGACCAGUCACACGGGAAAGGAGACACGGUCCAGACUCCUAAGGGAGGCAGGAGUGGGGAUCAUAGCACAAUGGGCGCUAGGCUGAUGCAGCCAUGCCGCGUGUGUUAAGAAGGCCUUCGGGUUGUAAAGCACGUUCAGCGGGGAGGCGUUACCCGCAGAAGAAGCACCGGCUAACUCCGUGCCAGCCGCCGCGGUAAUUC
rnacentral:rRNA from 1 species